UAGUACCAAACAAAAUUCGCUAACUAGUACCAUUUGUUGGAUGUUGAGCAAGAGUCUCGGACUAUGUAGUUGAUUGUGCAUUUACAUUUGGUCAAUGUCGUUGAUUGCAUGUAGCAAUAAAUAAACAUUGACUUUUAGAUGUAAAUGUCGUCUAGGUUGUUGCUCAGACACUAGGUGUGACUAUCCAUUUGCUCAAUGCUUGAAAUCUUCGGCUGUGUUGGUUGGUCCGUCUAUAAAUCCCAAUUGGCUUGGUCUGUCCAUUAUGUUUGGUAUUCAGAAAUGAGGAAAUCUCUUUCCUUUUGCGCUAGACAGAGCUUGUUUUGGUCUAAACAGAUUGAUCUUAGACUGAUCAUCUACUUACCUUAAAUGAAUUAAGGGUUUUUGAUUUGGAGAAGGACAUGUGGAGGAAAACCCCCCACAAUGCCCUCUUAAUUCGUCUACCUCUAUUUGGAUGAGUAGCCGAUGGGUUGAGGCAAAACGAAUUAUCUGUCUCUUCAAGUUACUUGGGCACUUAGGAACAUGUGUCAUUUGGGGCGACAAUGAUGGGUUACAUCUAUUAAGGUUGGCUGUUAGGCGGAACACCUUUUUGGGAAGCAUUUCCAGGUGGCUUGUCUCUUGGGAUACCUAGGUUUUUGGAUCCCUAUAAAUAGAGGGUUUCCACAACUUUUGGGUCACUUUUUGUCAUUUUCCUGUUUUGGAGUUUCUCUGCUCGCACUACACCUUCGUUGUCGCUGCAUCUGCCAUCGGUCGCUCUUCGCCUUCUUUAUCGUCGUCCUUAGGCUUGCUUCUGGCAUAUUUCUUUUCCUCUAGAGAGCGCUCAUUCCUGACUCUGGUAAGUUUUCCACCGCUCACAUUUCCUUCUGUUUGUUGUUUUUCUUUAAACCGCAUCGACGAUUUUUUGGUUUUGAGAGAAAAUGGACACCGUGGAAUCUAGAUUCUAGGGUAUUUUUUGGUGUUUUUGCUUUGGAAAUAAUGAUUGUGCCGAUGGUCAAACUUAGGGUUUUUCGGCUUUUCUCUUUUGUUCCUAUGUUGUCAGUGCAUUCGACAUCGAUUCAUGUUUUUUGUCCUGCUGCCAUUGCGUUGGGAUGAUGGGAACGAUUCUCCAUUUAUUUAUUACCUAAAGGACUUGCUCUAGCUAAGGGACUUGUUCUACAAGUUUUGGUAGCCAAUCCGUUUAGAUUUGGACUUGGGGUCCGUCUAGGUUUCUUGUUGUAGUGCUGAGGCAAUGCUGAAAGAUGAAUGGGUUGGGUGAUCGGUUUUGAUAACUGCGUUGUCUCGAACAGGUUUCCACACGAAUUAGAUCCACUUAGCAUAAUGCCAAGAGAAGGAGUCACUUCUACCAGCGAAAGCAAAAUGCCUCAGCAAAGUGGAUAGAAAAACACUAGAGUCGGGUGCCUCAGACGAGAACAUCCAGUUAGUGUCCUUUCUGAACGGGAAUUCUGGGCUCGUUUCCAUAUUCCAGACAAUAUCCCGAUCCAACUAACAGAUGGCGAGACUCUAUCCUCUACUGACCUUCCCAGCAACAUGAUGUAUUUACAAAGAAACAAUUCGCUAUUGGGUUUCGUUUACCUAUUCCUUCUCUCUUCAAGUAGUUUCUUCAUUUCACGGAAAUUCCUUCGGCUUUUCUUCAUUUGAAUGUUUUCCGGGUGUUGAUGGGAUGUAGUGUACUAGACAUGCUCUUCCAGUUGAAUCUCUCAUUGUUGGAAGUCUUGUUCAUUUAUACUGUCAAGAUAAGCUAGAAGGAAAGGUUCAGCUUAUCUGCUUAUAUUAUUUUCCUUUAGCUGGUGACUGGUCUUCUAGAUUCAUAUAAAGGUUUGGAAAAGGGGCAUGUCCUAGUUUCUGGUCCUUUGAGUGGUUCGUCUGAGAGACCAGACAGAGUUUUUUCUCCAUAGCGUUUAUUGGAAAUUCCGAGUAAGAUACGUUUUUGUUACUUUUUUUGUAUCUUGCAGUUAUUUCUUCCUGGCUGUAAAUUUACUAAUGAUCUCUCUGUUUGUGUAUUACAUGCAAGGAGGGGUGGAGACGUUUUAUAGAGUGGGUGGAAAAGGCUUCCUUCACCCAACUCAACAAGUUAUUUGAGAUAGACACAACUGAAUGAGCUUAUAAGGUUUUUCUAUCAGAUAAGAACUUGUUAGCGCUGAUCUACAAUCCCAAGUCGUUCAUCAUCCCCGUAUUUUCACGUCUAGCUCCCCCGUCUUUGGUGCUUGGCAAACACUUCAUAUUAAAGGAUUUGCCCUUCUACGAGGUUGCUCGUCUAGUAGAUUCUGAGGCAUGUCAGGCUCAUUUAGAAGAGUGGGAGAUAAAAUGUCAAGAUGGGACAUUGAGGCAAGCUCUGAUUGUUGGUUGUCCGUCAUCCAGUUCCGUUGUCCAUUCUUCCACUUAAAAGAAGAAAAAACCUAUUGCUUAUCCUGUCUAGAGGGCGAGGACUCCGCCUUCUACAUCUCCGUCUUCUUCAUCAUCUUUAUCUUCUUCAUCUUCUAACGACGAACCAGAAACAGGGGUUGAUUGAGUAGUACCCCCUAUUAUUUGUGAGGAAGAAGAAAAAAAGAAUAUGACUUCCAAAUUGAGGGUUGGAUUUUGUGAGAGACAGCUUAAGCGCCUGUUCGAAUCCAUUGCUAUCAAUCCUACAUCCUCCAAGAAAGCUUGUCCAGAACCUGUUUCAGCUCCUCUGCCCAUGCCAGUACCUCUGACUACUACUGCGGUUGUCACUCCUAAUCCAGAUGAGAAACUUCCAUCUGCUGAUGAUAUUGUUUAUCACGAUAUGAGGAUACCCUUCGUCGUCCGGAACAAACUUAGCAAAGAAUCGUUCAAGUACAUGACUUAUUCUUCUCUUCGUCCGAAGUCAACCUAUAUUCCCAGUCGGGAUGAGGUAUCUGAAGCGGAUCUCUUCCUUCACCGAAAAAAAAAACCCCAGUACAAAACAUGAGAGUGCUCUUUCUUGCUACUUAGUGGAUCCUAGUCGAGAUAGAUGAUAAUCCCAGUCAAUCAUUCACGGCACGACUUUCGUACGAUAAUCCGAAUACCGCUAUUGCCCACAUUAUCCAUAUGCAAGACUACAUGGCUUUUGAAACAACAGAAGUGGUGAUAGCUGAAGUCUGAAACCUUAUGUGGCAGCACACUCACCUUUUCUACUAGUUGGAAGUAGUCGAGACCAUGAGGGCAUAUGUUGCCCAUAACAUAAACGAGAAUGAAGAUCUCCUCGCCAACUUGGAGAAGGCGAAGAGUGAGGUCGCUGUUGCCCAGAAGCUUGUUGAAGAGGGAGUUAGUUUGUUGAGGAAGGUCGAAAAAGAAAAGGAGACGGUGUAGGCUAAAACUCGUCGACUGGCUAAAGAGAAAGAAACUAUGGCGGCCGACAAGAAGAAAGCUGAAGAGAAGGUUGUCCCGUUGAGGGAGAAACUGUAAUAUCUCCAAGUGGGGUUUGCCACUAAGAAGGAAGACUUAGCGGCAAACUACCAAAAACAGGUGGAUGACAUUUUCUUCUACGACUAUCGAUGUAUGAAGAAGCAUGGCAUCGCCCAGGAUACUCUCAACUUUCCUUCCGAUGAUGAGGACAAGUUUCUAGGUGGUCCUGCCUAGAGGGGGAUGACAUGUUUUAAGAUGCAGUCCUUCUGGUGAGUAGACUUGAUAUAUAUAUAUAUAUAUAUAUAUAUAUAUAUAUAUAUAUAUAUAUAUAUAUAUAUAUAUAUAUAUAUCGGCUGUGGCCUAGACUGCUAAAUUUGUAAAUACAAUGGAUGUUAUUAAUUUGAAUAUACUUGUUUUAGCCAUUUGUUUCUCAUAUAUUAUUUUUGUAAGCAAACUUUAUUAAUAGUACUA